ACCUGCUCAUCUUCACGCAGGUGGUUUUCAAUCAGCUGAUGAGCGCUGAUUGCUUCCUCCUCCUUCCUCCUCCUUCUCCUCUUCUUAUUUAAUCUUCUUCCAGCCAAGAGUUCCGUGAUGUCACUUUGAAGAGAAGCUGCACGAGCCGUGGAACGAAAAAAAAAAGACGCGAAAAAAGUGUCGCUGCUUAACUACUGAAAGUGUUCCGGGAGGAGGGAACUUGUGGCGGUAACUCACCAACCGCCAUAAAAGCUCAAAAGAGAACGAGGGAAGUUUAAAAAUAGAAGAGAAAAAAAAAGAAAACUCCCGCGGCGUGACGUCAGACGCCGAAAAGGUGACCGCGUGGAUCAGCUCCUGUAUCAAACCGUAGCAAGACGCUCCAGGAUGGCGUGUUCGACCUGGUCCAGAUUGGUGGCCUGUCCAGAAUGGAACAACCUGCUUCCUGCUCACGGAGACCUGGUCGGACCCGCCAUAUACAAAAGCCUGAUGCUGUUUAAAAAAGAUUGAUCUUCAUGAAGAUCGUCAAAUAGUAAGGUGUCAUGAUUUAAUUGUGGGUGCCCGCCGUGUCCCCACUCUCUCUUGGCCGCUGUGCCUACAUCUCUCUGCAUUGUCCAACAUGGCCACGUUUUUUCUGUUCUCCUGCUUUCCAUCUGUCAAAUAGCUGAGGGUUGUACAUGGAGCAUUUGCCACAGGUUGGUUUUGUAUGUUCCUGUCCACCUUAUUGGGUGGUCUGAAAUCUGGUCCUCGUUGGUUAUAUUUUUGUGGAACUGCUGAGUGAUUUGAAAGAGUGAGGUGACUGAUGGAGUGUUUGAGAUUCUCUCUCUGAAUGAAUGGGUUGUGUGUGACUGAGAUGCCUGGAUUAAAUAGUUCAGAUGGUCUGAGAAUAUGAUUAUGUUCAGCAGUUCACAUUAAAGUAGAUAUGGUGUCUUGAAGGGCUUAGAUGCUUGUUAAGUUAUAAUGCACUAACAUUUCCUUUUUAGGUCUGUCUACAAAGGGUGAGUCCAUAUUUUUUCAUUUCUUCUCUGGGGGCUACUGUCUUGGCCUCCAUGUGUGCUAGGGUUUGCAGAGUAGGGGAAUAAAACAAAAGAAAACUUGUGCGUUGUGUUUUUUGAAAGUGAAGGUACUUAGGUGUCAGCAACUGACUUGCUAGUCUAGCUGCCGACAGCUAACUACGAAUCACACUGACAAUUUACAUGCAACAGUAAGAACACGCCUCUCUAUGGAGGCGCUUUCUUGCCUUGCCACUGUACCCUUAAACACUUUUUCUUUCCAACUGUUUCUUAGGACGGUAAGUGACACGCAGGCCGCGGGCCACAUCGCUCUUCUGGCCACCGUGUCGAUCUGUCCUGGCCCUCCUCGUGCCUUUCCUCACUUUAAUGAGAACAUGUCUCUAUAAGGUAAAAAAAAAAUAUCAACUUGAACUGUUUUCUUUAGCAUUAAAAUAUAGUGAUGUUGGAGGACCAGAUCUUUAAUGAGGUUUAAAUGGAUGUUGGUGUACCUUUUUAAAGUUAGAUGGUAGGAAUAAAGUUAAUGUUGUGCCUUGUGAACUCUGUCACAAGGCUUAGACUUCUUGGCCGCUGUGCCUUAUUUUUAUUUCUUUUUCUCUUUUCCAUCGUGGCCAUUAAUUUACCGUUAGCCUUAGCACGUUAAAAUGGAUCCUGGUGAUCUACUAACACAGUACCUGGCUUUGGAUGGCAGCUGUGCCAUUGCCUUUUUAUGGCCAUACGUCCUUUAAUGCAAGUAGGCCAUGAUCGCUAACUGUGCCCGCGCCUUCGUGGUCUACUUGUGUCAUUGUACGUCUGGCCUUGCGCGUAUAGUCAUUUUACAUAGACAAACAUGGGUGCCUUCCGCGUCCAUGCACAGUAAGUGAACUAACCUGUACUUUCCUUCUAGCAUCAGUCAAGAGGAGCACCGACAUCCCUGCAUGUCCAACUUAAUUAGAUCGCGUUUUAGGUCAGGUAAAAUUUCAAAUGUUAAGUGCAGUUUAUCUUUUUAGCUUGGCCGCUGUGCCAAUACUAUACCUGCUCUGAUCUCUCUCUCGCUCUCUCUCUCUCUCUCUCUCUCUCUCUCUGUCUCAGUCUCUCUC